GGGGAUUUAGCUCAGCGGCAUAAGCGCCUGCCUUGCAAGCAGGCAGUUGGGAGUUCGAUCCCCAGUACCGA
rfam:Cavia porcellus supercont2_42 genomic scaffold, whole genome shotgun sequence.